GAUGAACGCUGGCGGCGUGCCUAAUACAUGCAAGUCGAGCGAACAGACGAGGAGCUUGCUCCUCUGACGUUAGCGGCGGACGGGUGAGUAACACGUGGAUAACCUACCUAUAAGACUGGGAUAACUUCGGGAAACCGGAGCUAAUACCGGAUAAUAUAUUGAACCGCAUGGUUCAAUAGUGAAAGACGGUUUUGCUGUCACUUAUAGAUGGAUCCGCGCCGCAUUAGCUAGUUGGUAAGGUAACGGCUUACCAAGGCAACGAUGCGUAGCCGACCUGAGAGGGUGAUCCGCCACGCGGGAGCUGAGACACGGUCCAGACUCGUACGGGAGGCAGCAGUAGGGAAUCUUCCGCAAUGGGCGAAAGCUUGACGGAGCAACGCCGCGUGAGUGAUGAAGGUCUUCGGAUCGUAAAACUCUGUUAUUAGGGAAGAACAAAUGUGUAAGUAACUAUGCACGUCUUGACGGUACCUAAUCAGAAAGCCACGGCUAACUACGU
rnacentral:rRNA from 1 species